GACGAACGCUGGUUGCGUGCUUAACACAUGCAAGUCGAACGGAAAGGCCCUGCUUUUGUGGGGUGCUCGAGUGGCGAACGGGUGAGUAACACGUGAGUAACCUGCCCUUGACUUUGGGAUAACUUCAGGAAACUGGGGCUAAUACCGGAUAGGAGCUCCUGCUGCAUGGUGGGGGUUGGAAAGUUUCGGCGGUUGGGGAUGGACUCGCGGCUUAUCAGCUUGUUGGUGGGGUAGUGGCUUACCAAGGCUUUGACGGGUAGCCGGCCUGAGAGGGUGACCGGCCACAUUGGGACUGAGAUACGGCCCAGACUCCUACGGGAGGCAGCAGUGGGGAAUAUUGCACAAUGGGCGGAAGCCUGAUGCAGCAACGCCGCGUGCGGGAUGACGGCCUUCGGGUUGUAAACCGCUUUCGCCUGUGACGAAGCGUGAGUGACGGUAAUGGGUAAAGAAGCACCGGCUAACUACGUGCCAGCAGCCGCGGUGAUACGUAGGGUGCGAGCGUUGUCCGGAUUUAUUGGGCGUAAAGGGCUCGUAGGUGGUUGAUCGCGUCGGAAGUGUAAUCUUGGGGCUUAACCCUGAGCGUGCUUUCGAUACGGGUUGACUUGAGGAAGGUAGGGGAGAAUGGAAUUCCUGGUGGAGCGGUGGAAUGCGCAGAUAUCAGGAGGAACACCAGUGGCGAAGGCGGUUCUCUGGGCCUUUCCUGACGCUGAGGAGCGAAAGCGUGGGGAGCGAACAGGCUUAGAUACCCUGGUAGUCCACGCUGUAAACGGUGGGUACUAGGUGUGGGGUCCAUUCCACGGGUUCCGUGCCGUAGCUAACGCUUUAAGUACCCCGCCUGGGGAGUACGGCCGCAAGGCUAAAACUCAAAGGAAUUGACGGGGCCCCGCACAAGCGGCGGAGCAUGCGGAUUAAUUCGAUGCAACGCGUAGAACCUUACCUGGGUUUGACAUGGAUCGGGAGUGCUCAGAGAUGGGUGUGCCUCUUUUGGGGUCGGUUCACAGGUGGUGCAUGCCUGUCGUCAGCUCGUGUCGUGAGAUGUUGGGUUAAGUCCCGCAACGAGCGCAACCCUUGUUCACUGUUGCCAACACGUUAUGGUGGGGACUCAGUGGAGACCGCCGGGGUCAACUCGGAGGAAGGUGGGGAUGACGUCAAGUCAUCAUGCCCCUUAUGUCCAGGGCUUCACGCAUGCUACAAUGGCUGGUACAGAGAGUGGCGAGCCUGUGAGGGUGAGCGAAUCUCGGAAAGCCGGUCUCAGUUCGGAUUGGGGUCUGCAACUCGACCUCAUGAAGUCGGAGUCGCUAGUAAUCGCAGAUCAGCAACGCUGCGGUGAAUACGUUCCCGGGGCU
rnacentral:rRNA from 1 species